UGUUCCAUGGUGUAAUGGCAGCACUAGAGUUUUUGGUUCUCUCAGUCCCCGUUCGAAUCGGAGUGGAACAA
rnacentral:tRNA from 2 species